AUACGGAGGGUGCAAGCGUUAAUCGGAAUUACUGGGCGUAAAGGGUUCGUAGGCGGUUAUUUAAGUCAGAUGUGAAAGCCCCGGGCUCAACCUGGGGAUUGCAUCUGAUACUGGGUAACUAGAGUUUAAGAGAGGAGUGUGGAAUUUCCGGUGUAGCGGUGAAAUGCAUAGAGAUCGGAAGGAACAUCAGUGGCGAAGGCGGCACUCUGGCUUAAAACUGACGCUGAGGAACGAAAGCGUGGGUAGCAAACGGGAUUAGAAACCCUAGUAGUCC
rnacentral:rRNA from 1 species